UACGGGGGGGGCAAGCGUUGUUCGGAAUUACUGGGCGUAAAGGGUUCGUAGGUGGCCAACUAAGUCAGACGUGAAAUCCCUCAGCUUAACUGGGGAACUGCGUCUGAUACUGGUUGGCUUGAGUGCAGGAGAGGAACGCGGAAUUCCAGGUGUAGCGGUGAAAUGCGUAGAUAUCGAGAGGAACACCUGCGGCGAAGGCGGGUUGCUGGGCUGACACUGACGCUGAUGCGCGAAAGCCAGGGGAGCGAACGGG
rnacentral:rRNA from 1 species